GUCCCAAGCUCCUCCAAAGUUUAAAAGGAUUGGCGCUGCAGAUUUCUUUAAAGGAUAUUUUGCACAGAAGCUUGCUGGGAGAUGUUAUCUAGACACUCUACGAAUAUAAACCUAAUAUAUUUGGCUUUAUGCACCUGAGCUUCUUCAGUGAAUAAACCUGCAACUUCCUACGUAUCGCUAACAAAGAAUCUGCUGCAAUUUCCACAAUGUAAACAGACUUAUUGUCUAUGCAACAGAUUGUAAUAAACUUUUCAUCGCAAUUUCCCAUGUUUCACUCGACAUUAACAAAUGUAAUCUGCAUAGUUUAGUAACCAAUGAGCUUAGAGCUAAACAAUAAUUUAUCAACAAUGAUAAAAUGAAUUAGAAACUCCAUGUAUUUCUCAAAUUAUGUAUAUAAUUUACUUCUGAAUACAAGAACAGUGAUUAGAACAGGAAGCAGUAAGCAGACAGGGACUGUGAUUUACAACUCAUAGUCAAGAUUAGGUAACUUAGAGAAGCAUAUAUUUCAUUUAUUCAUUUAAAACUGAAAAAAUGUGCCUAAUAAUCAAGUUUCAUACAUAUUCUUCUGCGAAGAACGAGUUUCACAGGAGCCACAUGUUCGAGCCAAAAUAAUUAAACAAGCCAAGCCAUAUGUAGAUUCAUCAGCCAGAUAGACAUGAUAGCAACAAUUGACAACUUUUUCCAAUAUCAUAAGGAAUUCAAACAACGAAAAGGCUAAUGAUGUUAAGUACCAGACAGUAUGAAUGAUGAAAUGUUUGUAUAAAAAGGGCCUAAUUGGUGAUUUUACAACUUGAUCGUUUAAUUAACUCUGUUAAGUACGAGGAAGGUUCUCUAAGGAUAGUGACAUGAAAUGGACUUUGUGCGCUACAUCCAAUCACAGGUAGUGAAAGAUUUCAUGUGAUUUUUAUAAUGUUGGCAUGUUAAAGAGUAUUGUCUUUGUUUUUUCGUUCGGAAGAAUAGAGUGCUAAUCCCAUAUAAUCCGAAAAAUGUAAAUGGGAAGGAGCAUUCUGCAGAUUCUUAGGAUGACUUCGGGCACUGCACACAUAUGACAGAAAUGCUUAUUAGCAGAUUAUAAACUUAGUUUCAUGGAGAUGACUAAUGUACCAUUUAAUGAUCACUUCACAAUAAAAGACCUUCAAUUAUGAAAUACUGAAAGCUCUGCAUUAAUCAGAAUCCCAUAAAAAAAUAAUCAAAAACCCUGUGAAAUUAGAAGGACACUUAACUAGAUACCUUUUGUUGGUUGGGUGUUACCUUGGUCGGAAUAGUAAAUUGCUCAAUUGCCUACAUAAAACAUAAAUAUUGUGGAACCAUAGAUGCAGGCAUCUUUGAGGUAAGGAAAAUGCUGGCAUCUGCUGUCAAAAAAUGGACAGAUAAACUGAUUCUGAUCAAUACAAUAGAACGCUUGGUAGUCGGCUACCAUUUUUCCAGUUGCAUUGAGGACCUGUUAGCAGAGAUUCAUGAAUCUCAUGCAAAUCUUGAAACUUAUGAAAAGUAUGAUCUGACUCAUCAACAGCAACAUGCACAGUCACCCUCUCGUCUCCACGUAAUGCAUCAUUUUCUUAAUAUAGCAAUAAACGGUGGAGCUAGCAAGCAAACUGUACAAGAUAUCAACCGGGAAGUGGGAACGCUCAGGAACGGAAACAGGGGGCAAUGGGGUGGUCAUGGUGGCCCAAAGCCUUCCCUAAGAGUUUGAAUUGAUCCUAUUUUGACUAUAAAAUUCGAUUUUAUAGUCGUUAUGUCCCCCCCAAAAAUCUCUCCAAAAGUUUGUAUUUAUUCAAUUUUGAGUAUAAAAAUUGAUUAUAGAAAUUUGAAAAUUCUCAAACCCUAAUAUAUAUACUCUCUAUUAUUGAAGCAGCCGUCUCUAUCAUCAGUGGGGCUUCAAUCGGUUUUCAACAGUGGAGAGCCCCAAAUCUUUUGUUUGUUUCAUCUUAUUUUUUUCUUUCAAUAAUCUUACUCGUUGAGGAAGGAUUUGUCUCAUUUGAUUUGUUUUUUAGACAUACAUCAUCGGAGCUUACAGUUUACUUUUUUAUUCGAUUGAAGCGGAGCUUAUCGGAUACGAGAGUUAAUCGUUCUUCUUGUGGUUUUGACGGUUAGAUCUAAGUUUUUUAAUUUUCAUUUGUUUUCAGUCUACUUUUAUUUCGAUUUGUAAUUUGUAUUUUCAGGUUGUUUUCUCUCCCAGGUGAGAGUUUUGUUUUUCGCUUCUUAAUUGUAAGCGGGGUCUUGAUUUGGUGAUGAAAGUUUGUAUGGAAUCGCAAGUCGAUAGCUCAAACUAUAGCUCUAUCAGGGCAUGAUGAAAAGGGUAACAAUAAUUCAAUGAGAAUGCAUGAAGCGAGUACUUGUAUUAGUAUAUACAUUUUCUUCAAAAAAUUGUUUAAUUGUCUCUUUAUAAGAACAGGCGAUUGCAAUAUACUCUUUGUUCGACUCGAUCAUUGGUGUAGAUGUCGUAUGACUUUUUAUUAUUAGAUUAAUACUUUUGUUUCAAAAUAAAAAUUGAUUAUAAUGUUCGUUUGGUACCUCACAAACUAACAAAUCUUGAUAGUCCCUUCAAAUAUAUACAGAAAUCUCAUGUAAAUUUGGAUUUUGUACAUACAAAUUCAUGAACUUGUCAAUAAAAUGUAGAUUGUCGGAAUGUAUCUUUUGCAUAAAGAAAUUUCGCCCCUCCAAAUUUUUUCUGGUUCCGUCCCUGCGAACGCUCAAUUCAGCUAUAAAUACAUGAGUAAUAUUGCUCUACAGUAUAUUCUAGAUAUUCACCUCAUACACGCACAGUAAGAAAGAAAGAGGUCAUAGCAAUUGAUAGAAAGAAUGGAAGCAUCAAAACUAGAAAAACUAGGUAGGUCUCUCCGGGUACCUUCAGUACAAGAACGUGCCAAGGAAAAAUCUGCCACAGUUCCAUCACGAUACAUUCAUUCUGAUCAAGAUCCUGUAAUUCUCAGUUCGACAGAUCUACCUGAAGUCCCUGUGAUUGAUAUGGAGAUCUUACUUCAUGGAGAUUUAAUGGACGCUGAGCUCAAUAAAUUUCACCAAGCAUGCAAAGAGUGGGGAUUCUUUCAGGUACACUAUUUUUAAGAUUAAUUUAUUUUUUUAGAGGAUGCUACUUGAAAAAAAAAAAAACUAGAUUACAACGCAUCUUUGCAGUUAAUAAACCAUGGUGUUAGCGAUUCAUUACUGGAGAAGGUGAAAACAGAGGUCGUGGAGUUCUUUAAGCUGCCACUUGAAGAGAAGAGAAAGUUUGGUCAACUGGAUGGAGAUAUAGAGGGAUAUGGACAAUCCUUCGUUGUCUCGGAGGAGCAAAAGCUUGAUUGGGCUGAUAUGAUCUACAUGAUCACCCUUCCUACUGAUCUCAGGAAACCGCACUUAUUGCCACAACUACCUCAUUCAUUCAGGUAACACAAAAUUUCUCUUAUAUUAAGGCUUUUGCAGUAAUUUCUCCUACCUCCCGAAUGAGCCAACUGACAUGCAUCAACCCAUAACAAAUAUGCAGAAAUGCUAUAGAGGAUUAUGCGGUGGAAUUGAAAAGCCUAGCCAUGAAUAUUCUCAAUCUAAUGGCCAAAGCUCUUCAAACGAAUCCUGAGGAAAUGGAAGUUCUCUUUGAAGAAGGCAUGCAAUCAAUGAGGAUGAACCACUAUCCUCCAUGCCCUCAACCGGAACAGGUUAUAGGGCUCACGCCCCACAGCGAUGCUUCUGGCUUCACUAUCCUUUUUCAACUGAAUGAAAUUGACGGCCUACAGAUUAGAAAGGACGGUACUUGGAUUCCAAUAAAACCGUUGCCUUCUGCCUUUGUUAUCAACAUCGGAGAUGUUCUGGAGGUAAAAUUAACUAUUUUAAAUUUUUAUUGCUUGUAAAUGGAUGGACUAACAUGACUUAAUCUGUAGGUUAUAACCAAUGGAACUUAUCAUAGCAUUGAGCAUAGAGGAGUUGUCAACUCAGUGAAGGAGAGAAUGUCAAUUGCUACAUUUUUAAGCCCCAAGGUAGAUGCAGAAUUCGGUCCUGCACCAAGCCUUCUCACGUCCCAAGCUCCUCCAAAGUUUAAAUGGAUUGCUGCUGCAGAUUUCUUUAAAGGAUAUUUUGCACAGAAGCUUGCUGGGAAAUGUUAUCUAGACACUCUACGAAUAUAAACCUAAUAUAUUUGGCUUUAUGCACCUGAGCUUCUUCAGUAAAUAAACCUGCAGCAUCCUACGGAUCGCUAACAAAGAAUCUGCUGCAAUUUCCACAAUGUAGACAGACUUAUUGUCUAUGCAACAGAUUGUAAUAAACUUUUCAUUGCAAUUUCCCUUGUUUCACUCGAGCUUCACGCAACAUUAACAAAUGUAGUCAAAAGUAGAUAUGUAGUAAUCUGCAUAGUUUAGUAAAUGAUGAGCUUAGAGCUAAACAAUAAUUUAUCAGCAAUGAUAGAAUGAAUUAGAAACUCCAUGUAUUUCUUAAAUUAUGCAUAUAAUUUACUUCCGAAUACGAGAACAGUGAAAACAGGAAGCAGUAAGCACACAGGAACUUUGUUUUACAACUCAUAGUCAAGAUUAGGUAACUUAGAGAAGCAUAUAUUUCAUUUAUUCAUUUAAAACUGAAAAAAUGUGCCUAAUAAUCAAGUUUCAUACAUAUUCUUCUGCGAAGAACGAGUUUCACAGGAGCCACAUGUUCGAGCCAAAAUAAUUAAACAAGCCAAGCCAUAUGUAGAUUCAUCAGCCAGAUAGACAUGAUAACAACAAUUGACAACUUUUUCCAAUAUCAUAAGGAAUUCAAACAACGAAAAGGCUAAUGAUGUUAAGUACCAGACAGUAUGAAUGAUGAAAUGUUUGUAUAAAAAGGGCCUAAUUAGUGAUGGUUUACAACUUGAUCAUUUAAUGAACUCUGUUAAGUACGAGGAAGGUUCUCUAAGGAUAGUGACAUGAAAUGGACUUUGUGCACUACAUCCAAUCACAGGUAGUGAAAGAUUUCAUGUGAUUUUUAUAAUGUUGGCUUGUUAAAGAGUAUUGUCUUUGUUUUAUAAUUUUGAGUAUAAAAAUUGAUUAUAGAAAUUUGAAAAUUCUCAAACCCUAAUAUACUCUCUAUUAUUGAAGUAGCCGUCUCUGUCAUCAGUGGGGCUUCCAUCGGUUUUCAACAGUGGAGAGCCCCAAAUCUUUUGUUUGUUUCAUCUUAUUUUUUUCUUUCAAUAAUCUUACUCGUUGAGGAAGGAUUUGUCUCAUUUGAUUUGUUUUUUAGACCUACAUCAUCGGAGCUUACAGUUUACUUUUUUAUUUGAUUGAAGCGGAGCUUAUCGGAUACGAGAGUUACUCGUUCUUCUUGUGGUUUUGACGGUUAGAUCUAAGUUUUUUUAAUUUUCAUUUGUUUUCAGUCUACUUUUAUUUCGAUUGGUAAUUUGUAUUUUCAGGUUGUUUUCUCUCCCUGGUGAGAGCUUUGUUUUUCGCUUCUUAAUUGUAAGCGGGGUCUUGAUUUGGUGAUGAAAGUUUGUAUGGAAUCGCAAGUCGAUAGCUCAAACGAUAGCUCUAUCAGGGCAUGAUGAAGAGGGUAACAAUAAACGAGAAUGCAUGAAGCGAGUACUUGUAUUAGUAUAUACAUUUUCUUCAAAAAAUUGUUUAAUUGUCUCUUUAUAAGAACAGGCGAUUGCAAUAUACUCUUUGUUCGACUCCAUCAUUGGUGUAGAUGUCGUAUGACUUUUUAUUAUUAGAUUAACACUUUUGUUUCAAAAAAAAUUUGAUUAUAAUGUUCGUUUGGUACCUCACAAACUAACAAAUCUUAAUAGUCCCUUCAAAUAUAUACAGAAAUCUCAUGUAAAUUUGGAUUUUGUACAUACAAAUUCAUGAACUUGUCAAUAAAAUGUAGAUUGUCGGAAUGUAUCUUUUGCAUAAAGAAAUUUCGCCCCUCCAAAUUUUUUCUGGUUCCGUCCCUGCGAACGCUCAAUUCAGCUAUAAAUACAUGAGUAAUAUUGCUCUACAGUAUAUUCUAGAUAUUCACCUCAUACACGCACAGUAAGAAAGAAAGAGGUCAUAGCAAUUGAUAGAAAGAAUGGAAGCAUCAAAAGUAGAAAAAAUAGGGAGGUCUCUCCAGGUACCUUCAGUACAAGAACUGGCCAAGGAUGAAUCUGCCACAGUUCCAUCACAAUACAUUCAUUCUGAUCAAGAUCCUGUAAUUCUCAGUUCGACAGAUCUACCUGAAGUCCCUGUGAUUGAUAUGGAGAUCUUACUUCAUGGAGAUUUAAUGGACGCUGAGCUCAAUAAAUUUCACCAAGCAUGCAAAGAGUGGGGAUUCUUUCAGGUACACUAUGUUUAAGAUUAAUUUAUUUUUUUAGAGGAUGCUACUUGAAAAAAAAAAAAAAAACUAGAUUACAACGCGUCUUUGCAGUUAAUAAACCAUGGUGUUAGCGAUUCAUUACUGGAGAAGGUGAAAACAGAGGUCGUGGAGUUCUUUAAGCUGCCACUUGAAGAGAAGAGAAAGUUUGGUCAACUGGAUGGAGAUAUAGAGGGAUAUGGACAAUCCUUCGUUGUCUCGGAGGAGCAAAAGCUUGAUUGGGCUGAUAUGAUCUACAUGAUCACCCUUCCUACUGAUCUCAGGAAACCGCACUUAUUGCCACAACUACCUCAUUCAUUCAGGUAACACAAAAUUUCUCUUAUAUUAAGGCUUUUGCAGUAAUUUCUCCUACCUCCCGAAUGAGCCAACUGACAUGCAUCAACCCAUAACAAAUAUGCAAAAAUGCUAUAGAGGAUUACGCGGUGGAAUUGAAAAGCCUAGCCAUGAAUAUUCUCAAUCUAAUGGCCAAAGCUCUUCAAAUGAAUCCUGAGGAAAUGGAAGUGCUCUUUGAAGAAGGCAUGCAAUCAAUGAGGAUGAACUACUAUCCUCCAUGCCCUCAACCGGAACAGGUUAUAGGGCUCACGCCCCACAGCGAUGCUACUGGCUUUACUAUACUUUUUCAACUGAAUGAAAUUGACGGCCUACAGAUUAGCAAGGACGGUACUUGGAUUCCAAUAAAACCAUUGCCUUCUGCCUUUGUUAUAAACAUCGGAGAUGUUCUGGAGGUAAAAUUAACUCUUUUAAAUUUUUAUUGCUUGUAAAUGGAUGGACUAACAUGAUUUAAUCUGUAGGUUGUAACUAAUGGAACUUAUCGGAGCAUUGAGCAUAGAGGAGUUGUCAGCUCAGUGAAGGAGAGAAUGUCGAUUGCUACAUUUUUAAGCCCCAAGGUAGAUGCAGAAUUCGGUCCUGCACCAAGCCUUCUCUCGUCCCAAGCUCCUCCAAAGUUUAAAAGGAUUGCCGCUGCAGAUUUCUUUAAAGGAUAUUUUGCCCAGAAGCUUGCUGGGAGAUGUUAUCUAGACACUCUACGAAUAUAAACCUAAUAUAUUCGGCUUUAUGCACCUGAGCUUCUUCAGCAGAGGCGGACGCACGUUCAGGGUCAUGGGGUCACGUGCCCCCAUAUAAUAUUGAGUAUCCCACAAGUAUAUAUAUUUUUGAAAAAUUAAGGAUCAUUUAAUUUAUCUAAUAAGUAAUUUAUAAGUCAAAAAUAUCUCACUAAAACAAAUAAAAGGAAGUUUUAAACAAAUAAUUUAAAUUAAGAUGAAUUUUUGGCUCUAACAAAAAUUUAUGUUCUUUUAUAAUAUCAUUAUUUAUAUGGUGCCCCGUCUUUAUAAUUGUUCUAGAUCCGCCACUGUUCUUCAGUGAAUAAACCUGCAACUUCCUACGUAUCGCUAACAAAGAAUCUGCUGCAAUUUCCACAAUGUAAACAGACUUAUUGUCUAUGCAACAGAUUGUAAUGAACUUUUCAUUGCAAUUUCCCUUGUUUCACUCGAGCUUCACGCAACAUUAACAAAUGUAGUCAAAAGUAGAUAUCUAGUAAUCUGCAUAGUUUAGUAAAUGAUGAGCUUAGAGCUAAACAAUAAUUUAUCAGCAAUGAUAGAAUGAAUUAGAAACUCCAUGUAUUUCUUAAAUUAUGCAUAUAAUUUACUUCCGAAUACGAGAACAGUGAAAACAGGAAGCAGUAAGCACACAGGAACUUUGUUUUACAACUCAUAGUCAAGAUUAGGUAACUUAGAGAAGCA
rnacentral:lncRNA from 1 species